rnacentral:rRNA from 1 species
UACAGAGGUCCCAAGCGUUGUUCGGAUUUACUGGGCGUAAAGGGCGCGUAGGCGGCAAAUUAAGUCAGCUGUGAAAUCUCCGAGCUUAACUCGGAACGGUCAGCUGAUACUGAUCUGCUAGAGUGCGGAAGGGGCAAUCGGAAUUCUUGGUGUAGCGGUGAAAUGCGUAGAUAUCAAGGGGAACACCUGAGGUGAAGACGGGUUGCUGGGCCGACACUGACGCUGAGUGCGCGAAAGCCAGGGGAGCAAACGGG